rnacentral:ncRNA from 1 species
CUUAUCAAGAGAGGCAGAGGGACAGACCCUGUGAAGCCCAGCAACCACCCCAUUAGGAGACGGUGCUAAUUCCUACAAAACGAAAACAUUUGAGAGAUGAGG